GCCCGCCUAGCUCAAUCGGCCAGAGCGUCAGACUUUUACGAAGGGUACAACCUUUCAUGAUCAACCCAUCUGAAGGCUGCGGGUUCGACUCCCGCGGUGGGCU